rnacentral:rRNA from 1 species
UACGGGGGGAGCAAGCGUUGUUCGGAUUUACUGGGCGUAAAGGCGCGUAGGCGGCCAGCACAAGUCAGUUGUGAAAUCUCCGAGCUUAACUCGGAAAGGUCAACUGAUACUGUGCGGCUAGAGUGCGGAAGGGGCAACUGGAAUUCUUGGUGUAGCGGUGAAAUGCGUAGAUAUCAAGAGGAACACCUGCGGCGAAGGCGGGUUGCUGGGCCGACACUGACGCUGAGGCGCGAAAGCCAGGGAGCGAACGGG